rnacentral:lncRNA from 1 species
AGAGGGCUUAACAGUUCAGCCAGUGGCUCAGGUGAUACAGCCAGAGUAGCCUUUCUGAAGGAUGUCUCCUGGAACUUUCAGGUCCAGGGGUGGGGCCAUUCAAACUUUCCUGGAGAUGCCUGGUUUUCCAAAGGGGAGGGAGAAGGCCUGGAGACAAAGGCUGGAGUGAGCGAGUUCACUGUGAGGUGGGUUCAGACCCUUCUUCUGGUAGCACACACUGGAGUUCAGUCUGCUUCUGGGAAAAUGGUAUUCAGGAGGGCUGCCUGGUGGCUGUGCAAUCCUUUAGUCCCAGCACUCAGGUGGCUGAUGCAGGUGAAUUUCUGUGAGUUUGGGGCCAGGCUGGUCUACAUAGUGAUCUCUAGACCAAACAAGGAUACAUAGUAAGACCUUGUCUUAAAAAGUAAAAUUAAAUAAAAUUUUUUAAAAAAGAAAA